AGAUGGGACAGGAGGAAGAUCAGGAGAAGAAGGAGGCGGAGCAGGAGUAGGGCAGAGUGUUAUGAGUUAAGGAUUUUGGUCUUGUUUUGGUUCCAUAUCUUGUGUUCUGCUGUUUUGCCCUGUUCAUUAUUGUGAGGAUUUUGUGUUGGUUCUCAUUCUUACUACUUAGUCCUGCGUUUUGGUUCUGUGCCUUAGUUCAUGUCUUAGUGUUUAAUCCUGGUCUGUGUACUUCUGUGUUGUUUUUUGCUCAUGUCUGCUCUGUGUUUUGUUUGAUCCCAGUUCAGUCUGUUUACCCCGAUGGUUGUAGUUUAUUUGUAUAAUGUCUGUCUGCUUGUGUUCUGGAUUAGUUUAUUCAUAUUAUUCUGAUCUGUUCUGUCUUAUUUUGAUAUGGCCUGUGUUUAGUAACCUGUGCCUGCCUGUUUCCCCUGUUAGUCCCUCUGCCUGCCUGUGUGUUGGUGUGCUUGAUUAUUCUGAUUGCCUGUCACCUGUGUUGAUCCCUCCCAGAUCGUUAAGUGUGUGUGUGAGAGAGAUUUCCUGCGGAUUUCCCGUUAUGGAGUUUCUGUUGGAUUACCUGUUCUGUUGGAUCUCUUUGUUCAUUUGGAUUGUUUAUGAUUUUUGGAAACUCUGGACACAGCCACUCUACUUGUAUUUCAACAUGACUUAUGGCUCGAUCCUGAGAUGGGACGCCCACUCCCAUCCUCAGAGCACCCACCCUUCCUUCUGCCCAUAUGGUUUGACUUGGUUACAGCGUGAGUGUGCUCAUAAUAUCCUAACAAAGUCAUUCUUUGAUGGCGGCAUUUCUCAUGACUCCCGUAAAAGGGCUCUGCAGAGAGUGAGAGAAAGAAACCGUGAAGGCCAAAUGCGAGGAGGCUGAAAUGGAAACUGAAGAACUCAUCAAGCUCAUUCAUCUUGUCGGAUGUGAAGACCGGGAACGCCAAGCAGAGACAAUUUCACACUCACUCAUCUUUCCCAACACACUCUAUGAAUCAUAUCAGAUAACAGGUCGCAUUUUGAAGCCACUGAGAAUUUAAACAGAUUUGGGACUUCUUGAUAACUGCACUCCCUCUUCCUUUAAUUCUUUAGAGGGAUGGGAUUUGUUUAAGCCUCAUUAUGAGCUAAACUGAGAUCCAGUCCCAGACCAGUUCCCCUUCUCGGGUUGGCAGUGGUGAGCGGAUGCCUCUGGCCGACUAUCAGACAGGUAGUUCAGGAGAUUUAUGCCUCUUUGUCGCCCUUGCCGCACAGCAAAUAGGACGGGAAGGAAACAAGUGAAAGGCGAUACCUCACUGAAGACAAUAUCUUGCAGAAAACUUGCCAAAACAUGCCAAGCUGUCUGGAUGCUGAGCAAAGUCAAUGAGUGGCCUGAACUAUUUCUGGUGUUCAGUAUGAAGCUGCAGGCAAUGCAUGAAAGACAAGUGUGUUCAUUGAGAACACUUUACAACUGACACAAGACUGAUGAUAGGAUCAACAUGAGACUGUUUGUUGAUUUAACUUUUAAUAAUUUCUUUUGUUGAUCUUUGUUGUGUUAGAUAACUUUUAGUUUAUGUGUAAGCUGCUAUAGGCAGGGGGCACAUUACAAAAUCCAAAUUCCAUAAUAUAAAUAUUGAAAUAAUAAAGUUUUAUUAUUAUUUAUUAUUAUUUUCUUUGGAUUUGUUUGUUGAUCAAGUUUCUUUUUUCUCUGUCUCAACUUAAUUUUAAGUAAUUUAUUUGGACAUAUUGUUAUUAAUCGAGUGGAUGUCCUCAUUUUGAAUGAAUGAAUGAUUUUAUUUUCAUGUCUGGUCAGUGGUCAAUUACACAACCCAUGCCAAAUUGGUCUAUUCAGACGCCAAACGUUCCUGUAUGUUUACCCGUUGUUUUCCAGCAUUAUUAAGCUCCCAGUACUCACAGAUCCUCUCAUCUUCAUCCAGUCCACUUAAUAUCUUUAUAGGGGUGUGGAUAUUUAACUUUUAAUACAAUGGCAAAACAGGAUCUUAUCUGAGCAUAGACAGAGGUCUCCUACUUUUAGACAGAUUUUAUGUAACAUUUUUUAUUAAUUGGUUACUAUCUUUAAAAGUUUUACAUAAACACUUUCUAUAGAUGGCCCUGUUUUCAUCACCUGAUCAGUGAUAUGGGAACUUACUGUUUAUGUUAACUAUGUUUUCCUCUCUUUCUUACAAACUGCCGCUCUGUUUACGUAGCAACCUAAGAGUCAAAAGUAAAGGAUAGGAGUGACUAAGAUGAAUAAAAAAUAAAAUAAACCUAUAAACACCUUUCGCUUAUACAGAUAUGAGCAUGACUCGAUAAUUGCACACGUAACUUAUACACUCAUUGUAGCAUCAUACUAAAAUAAAUAAAUGCAAAGAUUUAUGGAUGGAUUUAUACAGUAAAUAAAUAAAAGCAAAUAAAGAUGGAUUAGAAUUAUAAUUCUAAUCCAUCUCUAUUUACUUUAUAUUAGU